rnacentral:rRNA from 1 species
UACGGAGGGUGCAAGCGUUAUCCGGAUUCACUGGGUUUAAAGGGUGCGUAGGAGGGCAGGUAAGUCAGUGGUGAAAUCUCCGAGCUUAACUCGGAAACUGCCGUUGAUACUAUCUGUCUUGAAUACCGUGGAGGUGAGCGGAAUAUGUCAUGUAGCGGUGAAAUGCUUAGAUAUGACAUAGAACACCAGUUGCGAAGGCAGCUCGCUACACAUAUAUUGACUCUGAGGCACGAAAGCGUGGGGAUCAAACAGG